GUAAAGUGGCUGUUCCACUGGAUGUCUUAAGGUGAACGCACCAAUUUGUAAGUCGCUCUGGAUAAGAGCGUCUGCUAAAUGACUUAAAUGUAAUGUAAAUGUAGGUAGCGGUCCUGCUGCUAGGUUGUUGCCCUCCUACGGCCUCCUCCACGUCUCCUGAUGUACUGGCCUGUCUCCUGGUAGUGCCUCCAUGCUCUGGACACUACGCUGACAGACACAGCAAACCUUCUUGCCACAGCUCGCAUUGAUGUUCCAUCCUGGAUGAGCUGCACUACCUGAGCCACUUGUGUGGGUUGUAGACUCCGUCUCAUGCUACCACUAGAGUGAAAGCACCGCCAGCAUUCAAAAGUGACCAAAACAUCAGCCAGGAAGCAUAGGAACUGAGAAGUGGUCUGUGGUCCCCACCUGCAGAACCACUCCUUUAUUGGGGGUGUCUUGCCUAUAAUUUCCACCUGUUGUCUAUUCCAUUUGCACAACAGCAUGUGAAAUUUAUUGUCAAUCAGUGUUGCUUCCUAAGUGGACAGUUUGAUUUCACUGAAGUGUGAUUGACUUGGAGUUACAUUGUGUUGUUUAAGUGUUCCCUUUAUUUUUUGGAGCAGUGUAUUUGUAUGAACAUAACACGAUUCAACAACUGAGACAUAAACUGAACAAGUUCCACAGACAUGUGACUAACAGAAAUUGAAUAAUGUGUCCUUGAACAAAGGGGGGGUCAAAAUCAAAAGGUACAGUCAAUAUCUGGUGUGGCCACCAGCUGCAUUAAUUACUGCAGUGCAUCUCCUCCUCAUGGACUGCACCAGAUGUGCCAGUUCUUGCUGUGAGACCCCACUCUUCCCCACUCUUACCCCACUCUUCCACCAAGGCACCUGCAAGUUCCCGGACAUUUCUGGGGGGAAUGGCCCUAGCCCUCACCCUCCGAUCCAACAGGUUCCAGACCUGCUCAAUGGGCUCUUCGCUGGCCAUGGCAGAACACUGACAUUCCUGUCUUGCAGGAAAUCACACACAGAAUGAGCCGUAUGGCUGGUGGCAUUGUCAUGCUGGAGGGUCAUGUCAGGAUGAGCCUACAGGAAGGGUACCACAUGAGGGAGGAGGAUGUCUUCCCUGUAACGCACAGCGUUGAGAUUACCUGCAAUGACAACGAUGAUGCUGUGACACACCACCCCAGACCAUGACAGACCCUACACAUCUAAAUCGAUCCCACUCCAGAGUACAGGCCUCGGUGUAACGCUAAUUUCUUCGGCGAUAAACGCAAAUCCGACCAUCACCCCUGGUGAGACAGAACCGCAACUUAUCAGUGAAGAGCACUUUUUGUCAGUCCUGUCUGCUCCAGCGACGGUGGGUUUGUGCACACUGGUUGUUGCAGGUGAUGUCUGGUGAGGACCUGCGUUACAACAGGCCUACAAGCCCUCAGUCCAGCCUCUCUCAGCCUUUUGCAGACAGUCUGAGCACUGAUGGAGGGAUUGUGCGUUCCUGGUGUAACUCAGGCAGGUGUUGUUGCCAUCCUGUACCUGUCCCGCAGGUGUGAUGUUCUGAUGUACCGAUCCGGUGUUGAUACACCUGGUCUGCCACUGUGAGGACGAUCAGCUGUCCAUCCUGUCUCCCUGUAGCGCUGUCUUAGGCGUCACACAGUACGGACAUUGCAAUUUAUUGCUCUGGCCACAUCUGCAGUCCUUAUGCCUCCUUGCAGCAUGCCUAAGGCACGUUCACGCAGAUGAGCAGGGACCCUGGGGCAUCUUUCUUUUGGUGUUUUUCAGAAUCAAUAGAAAGGCCUCUUUAGUGUCCUAAGUUUUCAUUACUGUGACCUUAAUUGCCUACCGUCUGUAAGUUGUUAGUGUCUUAACGACCGUUCCACCGGUGCAUGUUCAUUAAUUGUUUAUGGUUCAUUGAACAAGCAUGGGAAACAGUGUUUAAACCCUUUACAAUAAAGAUCUGUGUAGUUAUUUGGAUUUUUAUUAAUUAUCUUUGAAAGACAGGGCCCUGAAAAAGAGACAUUUUCAUUUUUUACUGAGUUUAUUAUCACAUGACUGUAUUUGUCUAACUUCAGUUACCCUGACAAAACAAACCCAACACAAAUACUUCCUUCUCCAGCUGUGUUGUGCAGUUCUGUGCAGCUGGCACCCCAGACCUCCAGGUUUUGACCCAUAUAGUGAACCUUCUAGAGCACAGCCUGAGAGACAAUGUCAGCUCCUUUACUGAGUCUGAGAGCUUGCUGCACAACAGGUGAGGAGCAGGUGACAGAGACACGGGGAUCUCACAUCACACAGCUACAACAUAUGGCCACAACCAUAUCACAUUGCACACACUGUCGUGCUAACAUGCAGUUUAUCACACGGAAUGCUGACACAGUAAGACUGUUUCUUGCCUUUUAGCAUGGUAUCACUGUUUGUGGGGUUUAUUUCUAACAUUGCCGUCAGUAAGGUAUGUGUGCACACUUCUACUUUCUCUUGGACAGAUGACUAGCAAAAAUAAUUUGACAGUAGGAGGUCUCAUCUCUGUUUAAUGCUGAUGUUAUGCUAUGCUAAUCGUGCGAUGCUAUGCUAAAUGUGCGAUGCUAUGCUAAAUGUGCGAUGCUAUGCUAAAUGUGCGAUGCGAUGCUAAUUGUGCGAUGCGAUGCUAAUUGUGCGAUGCGAUGCUAAUUGUGCGAUGCGAUGCUAAUCGUGCGAUGCGAUGCUAAUCGUGCGAUGCGAUGCUAAUCGUGCGAUGCUAAUCGUGCGAUGCUAAUCGUGCGAUGCUAAUCGUGCGAUGCUAAUCGUGCUAAUUGUGCGAUGCGAUGCUAAUUGUGCGAUGCGAUGCUAAUUGUGCGAUGCGAUGCUAAUUGUGCGAUGCGAUGCUAAUCGUGCGAUGCGAUGCUAAUCGUGCGAUGGCAUGACAAUGUCAUGUGAUCUAAUGAGUCAUGUUGUCAUCCUGUGCUGGAGCAGAGAGUUGGAGGUGCCAGAGCAGAGCCUGCUACAGAAGGUGGAGGACCUCACAGCACACUCAGUCCUCCACUGUCCCAGCAUGCAGCGACUCCACGUACUCAGGGAGGAGGUGCGCUUCAUGUACCAGGAGAAGGAGCAUAGGAAUCGUGUGUGUGGAGGGAGAGGCUACAGUGCUGCCAGGCCCAGCUCCGGGCUAAAGAGAAGGAGAUGGGUUGCCAGUCUCAGUACUUUGAGCACUUUAAGAGCCAGCUGCAGCUCAAGUUCGGCCUGGCCAGAGACGAGGAGCAGGGCCUGCAGACCAGAGUCCACCAGCUGGAGAGACAUGUUCUGGAGAUGUCUGUAUCUUCAUCCACCAACAUAGCCACUGUCAACGCAGCUAGCUUCAACUAACCUGUCAUGGUGCCAACGGUACACAGAGUCCCAAAGACUGGCCCACCCAAGGGCGGAAAGAGAGGAGGAGGAUGGGGAGGGUGAGGAGGAAAAUACACAGUGGAGACGCUACGGACAGCACCUCCAGCAGAAGCAGGGAGAGGAUGAAAUAGACAUAGAGGAAGAAAGAGAGGGGGAGAGAGAGCGCGUGAGGGAGAGGGGGGUGAGGACAGACGGAGCGGCUUCAUCCUCAGCCUUCAGGAGGACCUCUGGGCUGUUGGAGGAGCAGGGGCUGGAGGAGCGGAGGGGGCUGUUGGAACAGCUGCAGGAUGCGCAGCAGAAUGGCCACUUCCUGUCGUGUAAGGUGGAGGAAAUGAGGACGGUGGUCCACAGGCUCCAGCUGAAUGAGAGCUCCAUGACUGAGGAGGUGGAGGAACUGCAAGAGGAGAACCAGAGACUGUAAGAGGCUCAGCCACACCCUGAGACAGAUCAACCACAGCCCGGGCUCUACUGACCCCCAUCUCUACCCCCAGCCCUAGCUCUGGUGCCAGCCCAGGGACUCCAGCCCCAGCCUGGCUACCGCCCUGCCAAACACCCCUGCCCUGGCUCAACCAGUCCCCUGCCACGUGGACAACACUGACCCAGUGAGUGAUGACAUUGAAGCUAAUGUGGAGUUGACUCUUAAUCAGUAGUAGAUCUUAAGUCUAAAUUGUUGAAGAGUUCGGCCUCAAGAAUGUAAAAUGAGUACAAUUACAAGCAAAUUGUACAAUGGAUUAUAAUGUGGGAUUGUCAUGGGUUUAGCUGCACAGUGGAAUGUUGAUCUGAUUAACUACAGAGGAACUAAAGAGUGUGGCUGGCUUGUGUGUUUGAGACUGGGGCCUGGGGGACUGGUGUCUUGGUCCUGGGGGCUUCCCCUCUCUCAACCUGAGAGAGGAGACUGAAGCACUGAGAGAGGCUUACUGGAGCAUGGGGGCGACGUGGACUCACUCCGGGACCACAGGGACCAGCUGGAGAGCAUGCUCUGACACACACAGGACCAGCUGCACAGGGUGACCGAGGAGAAGGCCCGACUGAAAUGUAAACUCAGGAAGCAGGGAGAAACGGGGGGCCUGUGAGGCGGAGCGGGGGUGCUAGCUAGGAGGGAAAAGCAUGACAGGAAAUGCCCAGGAAAACAGGGUGCCAAUUCAUAACCUAAUUCCCCAGGUUAGCAGAAAGCUUACCACAACUCCAACCCAGAAUAAUACUACCCUAGUCUUAGCCGAUAAUGACCUAACCCUGUAUGCCUUAGCCCUGGAUGACCUAGCUCUAGCUUUGAACCAGGAGAACCAAGGCAUAGGGCAGGCGUAUCAAGGAGCUCCUGCCCCACAUAUAGAGCCGGGAUAGUAAGGAUAGUGAGAGGAAGCUAGAGAGGGAGAGCUGGAGCAGGAGAACCAGGAGCAGGGAGGUCUUAUAACCGAGCUAACCAGGAAGACCGAGGAUGACCUCAACACUAUCAUGGAGCUGCAGCAGAGACUGACUGAGAGCGGUCAGCUUGGUCUACAACAGGGUGACCAUGGUUUGAGUCAGAGUGUGGUCAAAAGGGUGAGCAUGCGGUCGGGUCAGUGUUCGCUCAACAGGGUCAACCCUCGGUAGGGUUCGUGACCAGUCUACAAGGUGAUCACACGCCAGGGUCGGUGAAUAGUGGUGAACUACAGGUUGACCACACGACCGAGUCAGUUAGGGAUCAAAAGGACAGCCAUUUGACCACAGAGUUAGUGUCCAUGCUGAGAGAGGAGAGCGGCGAGCGAAUUGGGUCUCAGUGAUCUCAAAGGGGGAAGGGAACAGGUUUCCCCUCUCACUCAGGUGUCAGACAGGGAAACACCGGCCAACGAGCUCCGUGUGGGUUCUGGAAGAAGAACGCGACCGGGUCAAUCAGGAACUCUGCGGUUUAAAAGAAGAGCAAGUACAGUUUACAAGGUCUGAAAGAUAAGAGACAAGGUGGUAUGGUCAAUGUGUGGUUUAAAAGAGGAGAGUGACCAGCUAGUUCCGUCAAGGUCUGGACUCCAGGAGGAGAGAGACCAGCUAGUUCAGUCAAUGUCUGUUUUCUACAAGGAGAGAGACCAGCUAGUUCCGUCCAAUGUCUGGUUUCUACAAGGAGAGAGACCUUCUAGUUCAGUCCAAUGUCUGGUUUCCAGGAGGAGAGAGACGAGCUCUCGCAGUCUCUCUUCAGUCAAGAAGAUGAGAGACCAACCUAACGAGUCACUCCACAAUCUAGAAGAGGAGCGAGACCAGUUGAUGCAAUCCAUGUGGGGUUUAAAGGGACAGAGAGACUAGCUAACACAGACACUCAGCCUUCUGGAGCAGGAGCGAGACAAACUGCCUUCAAACAGAAGACAGAGACCCGGUCAACCAGUUUAAAGAAGAGCGAGAGCAGUUGGUUCAGUCAAUGGCUGUUCUGUGCGAACAGAGAGAGCAUCUCACAGCCGAGAGAGAGACCAGUUGCAGAUGGACGUCGCUCCUUUACGGAAUCAGCUACUGUCACAGGGGCGGAGUCACGACCAGCGGGUACUCUGAGAACCACGUUGGCGUGGCAACACACAUAGAGGGUGUGGCUACAGAGAGCGGGGUCGCUGCGCCAAAAUACGGAUGAUGACGUCGUUCAGAGAAGUCUGGCCACGGUCUACUCCUACAAGACCAUCCGCCUGGGGCAGUCUGCACAGGGAACACUUGGAAGAGGUGACAGGUGGAACAGAGUGAACUGAUGGAGGAGAUCAAGUCGUUGGGGGCAGAACACAGAAGGUCACGAGACGAACUGGAGAAGAACCAAUUGGAGGAUCUCCCUUCCAAGACCAGACACCAGGUUUACUCCAGUCCCCCACCAGGUCAGGGAAACUAUCCAGGUUACCCCAAACCUUGCUGCCCUCAACCGACCCAAGCAUACCCCCAUAACAGCUACCCUUCUACUACUACUACUACUGCCCCUGCUCGGACUGUUAAAGCACGAAGUACCACUACCUCGUUGCAAACUGCCCCUCCAACAAUUACCCUUCAAACUACAGCCCUCACUAAAGCUGCCCCCUCCACCUCUGCUCUGCCCCCCACUGAGAGGACAUGACUGCCUGAUGAGGACCAUUGUGUCAAGAAGCUCCUCUCCGACUGCCAACCUGAACAAGCUAAAGCAACCAAACCCAGAGCUGAGCCGGAACCUCCAGCUGAGGUGGGCUCUGUUGAGGUCAUCGGGAUGGUGGGACAGAGCAGCCUCAUGAUUGGCUGGAUGAGCUGGGCUGCAGCAACGGAACCUUUAUUGGUUCCACCCAACCAGUGAAUUCUACAGACAUGCAUGUGUACUUGUACACUCAGUUUACCACCCUGGUGAGAGCAGAGGUCGGACUAGCUGGCCAAUCAGAGGCUAGAAGCAGUGCAUGCACAAGGGUGAGGGUGCAUGGCUAUCACCCGAUUGACCAGGACCGCAGCCUGGUGACCUCUCACAUGAGUGGGGAGAAUAGAUUUUCAACCGCACUGUCCAGUUGAAACCUUUCUCACCAGAUUCAGAAGCUCAAACGGUAAUGCUACAGUCCUCUGGUGGACAGCCCUAAACUCCACCCUAGGAGAGCUGGCCCAGAGAGAGGGAGAUACUGUCAUGUUGCUAGGCAACCCCCGCAACGACGGCUUCUGUGAGGCCGAGGUGAAUGGCAGACUAGGUCUGACUCCUGUUGCCUUCCUAGAGGAAGUUAUUGAUCCAGACAGAAAUGUAAGCCCCGAAGGAAGAGAUGAUAGGCCACUGUGACUGCCAAUCAGAGAGAGGGCAAGAUGAUAGGCCACUGUGACUGCCAAUCAGAGAGAGGACAAGAUGAUGAGCCACUGUGACUGCCAAUCAAAUGAUGCUUCCCUACAGAGAGAUUAUAGUGGCCAACAUUCAUGACGUCAUCAAACGCUGCCUGCCCGUGACAAAAACAUUCAUAUGUGCUCACAGCCUAAAGUCAUCUGAAAUGGAAAGCUACACUAAAGCACUAGCCGAAAUGUGGGUGUGUUUGUGUGUAUGGCCCAGUUUGACAUUGUGCUUCUCUAAACGGAUGCUUUUAACCUACAUCCUGCUCAUUGAGAUUGUGUCAAAUCACCUCUGUUCUUCAAAAUCCCCCGCUUUUCUGUGUCUAAUCUCUCGUGGACAGACACACUUAACUGGUAUCCUAGUGUCUGUCAGCAGGCUGUGGGAUGCGACGACUAACGAGGAACUUUGAUUCCGGUGCACAGAUUUUUCGUCGCUGAUUAUUUUGGACAAAUCACGAUUUUACCGCCUUCCAUUUUUGGAAGAGGACGGGAUAUUUGGACCAUGGACUUGCCUGUAAAUUGCAACUGGAGAGGAGUUAACGGCCUGCGGCCCCUCCGCGUUCUAGUGUUUUUCUAACACAUCUGCCCCCAGAACAUAAUCAAGCGUCUG